rnacentral:lncRNA from 1 species
AGUUCUAUUGGAAUGGCUUUCUUGAUUAAUCUAGGACUGAACAAAACACAGUACAUUCCCUGACAACACCAUGUCAGCCAUCUCACUAUCUGGCUUAAUGAAAAGUUCCGGGAAAAUGACCAUCACCUGAAGGAUUCCCUUAACAAUAAGCUGUACCAAACUGACCAACAGUUUGCUAAAUCUUUUCAAGCUCCACUAUGUUUUUAUUCAAUUGCAG